rnacentral:rRNA from 1 species
AACGAACGCUGGCGGCAGGCUUAACACAUGCAAGUCGAACGCAUCGCAAGAUGAGUGGCAGACGGGUGAGUAACGCGUGGGAACAUACCCUUUUCUACGGAAUAGCUCUGGGAAACUGGAAUUAAUACCGUAUACGCCCUACGGGGGAAAGAUUUAUCGGGGAAGGAUUGGCCCGCGUUGGAUUAGCUAGUUGGUGGGGUAAAGGCCUACCAAGGCGACGAUCCAUAGCUGGUCUGAGAGGACGAUCAGCCACAUUGGGACUGAGACACGGCCCAAACUCCUACGGGAGGCAGCAGUGGGGAAUAUUGGACAAUGGGCGCAAGCCUGAUCCAGCCAUGCCGCGUGAGUGUUGAAGGCCUUAGGGUUGUAAAGCUCUUUCACCGAUGAAGAUAAUGACGGUAGUCGGAGAAGAAGCCCCGGCUAACUUCGUGCCAGCCGCCGCGGUAAUAC